rnacentral:rRNA from 1 species
CAGCCGUAAACUAUGCGCGUUAGGUGUAUCGGUGACCACGAGUUACCGAGGUGCCGAAGGGAAACCGUGAAACGUGCCGCCUGGGAAGUACGGUCGCAAGGCUGAAACUUAAAGGAAUUGGCGGGGGGAGCACCACAACGGGUGGAGCCUGCGGUUUAAUUGGACUCAACGCCGGGAAGCUCACCGGAUAAGACAGCGGAAUGAUUGCCGGGCUGAAGACCCUGCAUGACUAGCUGAGAGGAGGUGCAUGGCGUAGACGUCU